GCAACGUCAUCACGACCGAGAGACAACGCCCGUUGAGCUGAGUCCAUCAUGGCCGUUAAACAAAUUUCGGAUUUUGUCCGAUCAAACUGAACCGCAAAUUUGGUUUAAGCCUUAACGGGGCAUCGCAUCUUAUUUUGCUGGCAAAAUUGAACAUUUCGCCAUAUUGUGCUCUGCUUUAUGGACUUCACUGUGACCUGCGACACCAUCCAAGCGAACAAAGAACUUGAAGCGUCAGUAGGCGGUGUGAAACGGCCCAGCGCGGCGAGGACAUCCAUUGUGAUGGUUGCAUUUCCUCCAAACAGCCUCCAAAAUUUCUGCAAAUUUGUCUACCAAUUCCUUGCCAUUUGACGUUAAUUAAUCCAUCUGCUUAAUCUAGGAUUCUUCUCCAAACCCUGAGAAAAAUGUGGUAUCCGUAAAUCGUUGUAGGAUACAUAUUUUCCUAAAUCCAAACGCGGGUUUCCUCUGUGUGAAGUUCACGGGUAAUUUAUUCAGCUGAGCGGUUUGUUUUGUCAGCGCAACACGGACCGGUCGACGCGGAAACCUCCCCACGGAACCAGCCACCAACUGGGGGAAGUGACGAGCCAAUACGGACUCUAGUCUCCAUUCACUCAAAUUUCGCCCAGAAACACUGCCGUGCAGAACAGUAAUGGCGUCAGAUAUGCAAGAGAAUCGCAGUAAUUCUGACUAUCUUUUAGACUUCAAGUGGCCGGACAAAAGCAGCAAGAAGCAUCCGUAUUCAUGUGGCUUCUCCGGGAGUCGUCUCCGCCUCGUAGAAUUCUCGGAAAGACGUGAUGACUGCCUCAUGCAAACAGAAUCAACGAGACACAUUUGGAUCGGAAGCCAGUUUCAGAGGCCCCCUUACGGCGCAAUCUUGACGGGCAGCCUCUGUAGUCAUCAUCAAGGGACAGCACGAAACACAUGAUGACAACCUGAACUACUUAUUUUUUAAAAUGUUUUUGCGACCUGAUGUUUAUGCAAACCUUAUGGUGCGAUCGUAUAAAAAUGCAAAUUUCGCAAAUGGCUUUGAGCUAAACUUCUUUCCCGCAGUGUCUGCCAGUAGAACGCCAUCACAAUUUCAAUCAAAGCUAAAUAGGGUCGAAAAACAAUUAAAGAAAAGAGGUCUUGAAGGUUUUGGUCUUUAAUGUCGAAAAGGCAGAAGAGAGAUAGGGCAAUGAGUACCUAAUCCGGGGAGUAUUUUCAUCUAGCGGACACGCGCAGGCCACGUGCCGUGCUCUGGUCCAGAUGCCCCCGUUGGCACUUCGAGGAAAGCACUCGUCCGGUGUUUCUUUUGUGUGUAGACUCUGGACGGAAUAACCCUGAAUAAAUCUUGCAAUUAAUAAUUGAUUAGGCUGCUCAAGCCACGUUUAAUACAAACGAUCUAUUGAUCUUUUUAGGUCAUUCGUUCACAGUUUACAAAAUCAGAAUGUUUGAGCAGCGAAUUUCACCAUUUCGAACUGGCCGAUAUGAUAAUUUUAUUUGAUGUACGAAAUUCUUUUGUUUGGACGCUGAUAACUUUGGAUUCGUUUUCCCUAAUUAUCUUUCUUUUCCAUCAUGAUCUAUUUCUUGUUAAAAAAAGGAUUGACUUGAAUCACACAAUAAGUUGGAAUUAAAUACGGACUAAUGACACUAGAGAUUAUUACAUAAUAGCGCACGUGCAGUGGACUAUAUUGGUACAGACCAAUAGGUAUAAUUGCUAGCGGCUUUUCCCGGGCAGAGAUCGCUUAAAAACUGAGACAAAAUCUUUGUAUUUAAAUGAUGCAUUUUUAUGUUUGUACUCAAUGGAACUUUUCAAGCUGCAUCUGAAGAAAAUAAUUUGAUUGAAGCUGACAUACCUGCCUUGAAGAGAUGAACGCAUACCUUAUGGCAGUUUUCCAUUGAGUGAAACAUACUGCAUGCAUUUAUGUUGUACUUAUUGGAGUAAGCCAAGAUAUCGUCGAACAAACAGUUUUUCUGAGCAUGCUCUGUGCUUCCCUAGUUGUAAAAUGGAGAAAGGCAAAGUUGCGGGUUUUGAUGGAUUUAUAGAAAGUUUUCACAAGAAAAUUGCUGUUUUCACUUGCAAGAAGCACAGAAUAUGUAUGACGAAAGGUGUGCCGAGGUGAGAGAACUCCAUGGUUAUUGGUGAGACAGCUCAAUGCUUCUUGGAAGCUAAAGAUGUUUCCUCCGCAGUACGCUACGGGUAUUGAGCUGCAUUGUCAGGUAGUUCUCAUCAGGCCUGGAUGGGCGGAGGUGGUCCUAAAGAAUCACUGGAAUUCAAGCCAGAAAAGGUGGUACAUUUCUACAUUUUGUUUGCUGGUUUUAACUUGGGGACCCACAUAUUUAGUGUACAUGUAGGUUGUAGUUGUUAUGGAAAGGUCACAGUUGAUAAAGUAAAGUGCAAUUUAGGAUUUGAAAUAAUCAUGCCAUGUAUAUCAUUGAUGACCUUGACCUUGAAAUAUGAUUUUGAUUGAAUUUCACAUGGAUCCUGAACAUUCUUAGACUUCUGAGAAUGUUGAAUUAAUGCAAAAAAAAACAUUCAAAAAGUUUUUAUGUUAAUCGAGACUACACAAAAUGUUUUUAAACUGUGGUGUGGGAGGAAAUCGGGGUUGGGGUAAGAGGGGGAUUAUGUUGAUUAUCAAAACAAGGCUUAUAGUUUUUAAAUAUUUUAAGGAAACGAAGUUUUGAAAACUUGGCAAUAUUUCCAGAAAAAAAUGAGGUCUUUCUAAUAAUGCACCUUCGACAGAUUAAUGUUUAACCUUUUUUUCAAGGCCUGGGCUGUGAACUAUUGUCAGAAAGGGUUGGAUCCGGGGCGUGACAGUGACUAGCGAAGUAAAGUUGGGGUGCAUCUUGUGUGACAACACUCUUGCAAUUUCACGAAUUUUCACGACCUCGAGAAGAGGUGGAUUUUUUUCCACGACCAUGUGAUCCAUCCGUUUGCUCCUGUGGCUCCUGUGGCAUUUUCAAAGGCCAAAUUUGUUUUUCUCCAGAGCUUAAUAUUCAAAGAUGGCUGUAUUCUCAGAGCGUUGACGUUCAAAUGGCGCACAGGGAAUAUUUCCACACAACAGUAACAUGCUAUCAAAAGGUUGCCGCUUAUUAAUCAUUAACCAGGACAUUAUAAUAAAAAACACAUCCACACAAACAAAUAGUCCUCUGCACCACUUUACUGCCUUAUGGGCAUCUCUUUAUCUUUAUUAUUCAAUAUCAGAUUGGAAUGCGACACCUACAGCGUCAAAACUGAAUUAAGGAUUGUACCAUUGAUCUUUGAAAGGAAGCAUUUUCUAAAGGUUUUUGGAGUUUGAAGCUGUUUGCGACAAGUAACAGCGUAAUUGAUUGUAUUAUUGGAGUAUGAAGAUGACGAUUGACGGAAAACAAAUCCUCGAAGUCGAGAAGUGCUGACUGGUACAUCUUAACACUGACUGGCAAAUUGCUGAUGAGAUGGAAACAUUGCAGAGGACUCAGGCUAUUGCCAUGCGACGCGAACCAAAGGUUUUCUUCGAGUCCAUCAUAAAUCUGAAACAAAAUUGAAGGAAAAUGCAAGCUCUAGUAUGCAAACAAAUGAUGUUGAGGUUUACAAAUCCGUUGCCUCAAGUUUGGGAUGAGUUGAUGAAACAGCUUGAGAGGAGGUGAUUGGAGGUCCUUGACAAAU